UACGUAGGGUGCGAGCGUUGUCCGGAAUUAUUGGGCGUAAAGGGCUCGUAGGCGGUUUGUUGCGUCGGGAGUGAAACUCAGGGCUUAACCCUGAGCCUGCUUCCGAUACGGGCAGACUAGAGGUAUGCAGGGGAGAACGGAAUUCCUGGUGUAGCGGUGAAAUGCGCAGAUAUCAGGAGGAACACCGGUGGCGAAGGCGGUUCUCUGGGCAUUACCUGACGCUGAGGAGCGAAAGUGUGGGGAGCGAACAGG
rnacentral:rRNA from 1 species